UACGAGGGGGGCAAGCGUUGUUCGGAAUUAUUGGGCGUAAAGGGUGCGUAGGCGGUCUGAUAAGUCAUCUGUGAAAUCCCCGGGCUUAACCUGGGAACUGCAUUGGUGACUGGCGGGCUAGAGUAUGGCAGAGGGGGGUAGAAUUCCACGUGUAGCAGUGAAAUGCGUAGAGAUGUGGAGGAAUACCGAUGGCGAAGGCAGCCCCCUGGGCCAAUACUGACGCUCAUGCACGAAAGCGUGGGGAGCAAACAGG
rnacentral:rRNA from 1 species